GACGAACGCUGGCGGCGUGCCUAAUACAUGCAAGUAGAACGCUGAAGGAGGAGCUUGCUUCUCUGGAUGAGUUGCGAACGGGUGAGUAACGCGUAGGUAACCUGCCUGGUAGCGGGGGAUAACUAUUGGAAACGAUAGCUAAUACCGCAUAAUAGUAGAUGUCGCAUGACAUUUGCUUAAAAGGUGCAAUUGCAUCACUACCAGAUGGACCUGCGUUGUAUUAGCUAGUUGGUGUGGUAACGGCUCACCAAGGCAAGGAUACAGAGCAGAACUGAGAGGGGGGUCGGCCGGCCUGGGACGGUGACACGCCCCAGAGUCCUACGGGAGGCGGCAGGAGGGCAUCUUGGGGAAUGGGCGGAAGACUGAGCGAGCUGCGCGGAGGGAGUGAAGAAGGUUGUCGGGUCGGAAAGCUCGGUUGUAAGAGAAGAACGCGUGUGAGAGUGGAAAGUUCACUCUGUGACGGUAUCUGAUCAGAAAGCGACGGCUAACUACGUG
rnacentral:rRNA from 1 species